rnacentral:rRNA from 1 species
AUUGAACGCUGGCGGCAGGCUUAACACAUGCAAGUCGAGCGGAGUGAUGGUGCUUGCACUAUCACUUAGCGGCGGACGGGUGAGUAAUGCUUAGGAAUCUGCCAUUUAGUGGGGGACAACAUUCCGAAAGGAAUGCUAAUACCGCAUACGUCCUACGGGAGAAAGCAGGGGAUCUUCGGACCUUGCGCUAAAUGAUGAGCCUAAGUCGGAUUAGCUAGUUGGUGGGGUAAAGGCCUACCAAGGCGACGAUCUGUAGCGGGUCUGAGAGGAUGGGCCGCCGCACUGGGACUGAGACACGGCACCGACUGGUACGGGAGGCAGCAGUGGGGAAUAUUGGAGAAUGGGCGGAAGCCUGAUCCAGCCAUGCCGCGUGUGUGAAGAAGGCCUUUUGGUUGUAAAGCACUUUAAGCGAGGAGGAGGCUCUCCUAGUUAAUACCUAGGAAGAGUGGACGUUACUCGCAGGAUAAGCACCGGCUAACUCUGUGCCAGCAGCCGCAGUAACAC